rnacentral:rRNA from 1 species
CAGCGCCACGAGUGGCAUCCGUAAUUAUUGGGCCUAAAGUGUCCGUAGCCGGUUUGGUAAGUCCUCUGUGAAAGCGAUAGGCUCAACCUAUCGAAAUGCAAGGGAUACUGCCAGACUAGAGACCGGGAGGGGCCGGGGGUAUUUCGGGGGAAGCGGUAAAAUGUGAUAAUCCUCGGAGGACCACCUGUGGCGAAGGCGCCCGGCUAGAACGGGUCUGACGGUGAGGGACGAAGGCUAGGGGAGCGAUCCGGAUUAGAUACCCGAGUAGUCC